AAGGGAGGAUCUGGGCACCUGGA
rnacentral:piRNA from 1 species